ACUCAGAACUGGCACGGACCGGGGGAAUCCGACUGUCUAAUUAAAACAAAGCAUUGCGAUGGCCGCUGGUCGGUGUUGACGCAAUGUGAUUUCUGCCCAGUGCUCUGAAUGUCAACGUGAAGAGAUUCAUCAAAGCGCGGGUAAACGGCGGGAGUAUCUCUGACUCUCUUGAAUUCCACGACUUUCAGGGGGGCUUUGGGGAUGACCGCAGCGCAUCCUCAAACAUUAUCAUACUGCAGGCACUCAUGAAAAAAAGAAAAACCGACCG
rnacentral:ncRNA from 1 species